rnacentral:tmRNA from 1 species
GGGGAUGUCUUGGUUUCGACAGGUAUUGUUCGAACUUAUGAUGCGUCAGGUAGGCAGCGACUACCUAAAAACGCUACAGUUUAAAUUAACUGCAAACAAUACAAACAAUAAUUUCGCUUUAGCAGCCUAAGAACUGCGGGUGAAGAUCGCCCUGGCAUCACCCAUGUGCUCAGGUUCCGGUCUCAAAUUCAGUGGGAUACGCGCUAACUUUCCGUCUGUAAGUUAACGAAGAGAUUACCAGACUCGCGAACUGUGAUGCCCGUUUAUCGGCUAACAGGGAGCUAACUUUAAAUGGAUAAACUAUUGACGUAGAUUCGUAAGUGGCGAGAUAUUUGGACAGGAGUUCGAAUCUCCUCAUCUCCAUUG